ensembl:lncRNA
UGUAAAACUAACAAUGACUCAAUAACCCAUGCAUUCUGGGAAUGUUAUGAUGUCAUAAAGAUACGGGCGGAGUUGGAACGUUGGCUGUCAGAAGUAUUACAAUGUAAACUUCAUUUUAAAUCCGUCUGUCUGCAUAUUUCAGGACAUGACAUAUGAAGGGUGUAAUGAGAGACCCAUGGGGGGGGGGGAUACUUUACUCGUCAAUGAUUUAGAAGAAAACGUUGACCUAAAAAAAACUGGAAAUCACAUGAUCAUACAUCAUUACAACAGUGGAUGAAUCCAAAUGUUUAUUUAAAUAUUGAAAAUGUGUGGGCUACGGAGAAACAUUCUACAGUGCCAUUUGAGGCCAUAUUUCAUAGAGUUCUACAAGCACCGGAACCUUCCAGGGGAGGACGGAUGAGGGGGGGGGACAUAUGUGAUGUGUACAGUAACAGUGGGAACAUGUGGGUCUGAGCAGGUGUGAUGUCAUUGAUGUUUUGGUAACAUUAGUGGUCUGUUUAUGGUCUUUGUUUAUGCAUGUUGUUAUUGUAAAAUUAUAUUUCAACAUGAAAACACUCACAGUUUACAGUUAUACACUUUACAGUUAUACACUUUACAGUUAACAUUCACACUUUACAGUUAACACUCAUACUUUACAGUUAUACACUUUACAGUUAACACUCAUACUUUACAGUUAUACACUUUACAGUUAACACUCAUACUUUACAGUUAUACACUUUACAGUUAACAUUCACACUUUACAGUUAACACUCAUACUUUACAGUUAUACACUUUACAGUUAACACUCAUACUUUACAGUUAUACACUUUACAGUUAACACUCAUACUUUACAGUUAUAUACUUUACAGUGAACACUCACACUAUACAGGUAACACUCACACUUUACAAUUAUACACUUUACAGUGAACACUCACACUAUACAGGUAACACUCACACUUUACAAUUAUACACUUUACAGUUAACACUCAAACUUUACAAUUAUACACUUUACAGUUAACACUCACACUUUACAGUUCAAACUUUACAGUUAUACACUUUACAGUUAACAUUCACACUUUACAGUAACACUCAUACUUUACAGUUAUACACUUUACAGUGAACACUCACACUAUACAGUUACCCUCACACUUUACAGUUAACAUUCACACUGUACAGUUAUACACUUUACAGUUCACACUCACACUUUACAGUUCACACUCAUAGUUAACACUCAAACAUCAAAACAUCAAUAUACACACUUAGUGCCACAUUAUAUUUGGCUCUGUUGUAUCAAAGGCCCUAUAGUUUCCUAAUGUCCCUGGGCCUAUACGGCUGUAUAUGGGGCUACAUAUAGGGGCUAUACCCCAAACUGGAAAUGAUCACAUCUGGAAUGCUAUAGGUUCACUCUCUGCCUUAAAUGAGUCAGCUGGGAUCUGAAAACAGAGACAGAACGUUCCUCAUCUGUCUGAACUCUUAACCAUCUCAGAGACAAGACGUUUCUCAUCUGUCUGAACUCUUAACCAUCUCAGAGACAAGACGUUUCUCAUGUGUCUGAACUCUUAAACCAUCUCAGAGACAAGACGUUCCUCAUCUGUCUGAACUCUUAAACCAUCUCAGAGACAAGACGUUUCUCAUCUGUCUGAACUCUUAACCAUCUCAGAGACAAGACGUUUCUCAUCUGUCUGAACUCUUAACCAUCUCAGAGACAAGACGUUCCUCAUCUGUCUGAACUCUUAACCAUCUCAGAGACAAGACGUUUCUCAUCUGUCUGAACUCUUAACCAUCUCAGAGACGAGACGUUCCUCAUCUGUCUGAACUCUUAACCAUCUCAGAGACAAGACGUUUCUCAUCUGUCUGAACCCUUAACCAUCUCAGAGACAAGACAUUUCUCAUCUGUCUGAACCCUUAACCAUCUCAGAGACAAGAUGUUUCUCAUCUGUCUGAACUCUUAACCAUCUCAGAGACAAGACGUUUCUCAUCUGUCUGAACUCUUAACCAUCUCAGAGACAAGACGUUUCUCAUCUGUCUGAACUUUUAACCAUCUCAGAGACAAGACGUUUCUCAUCUGUCUGAACUCUUAACCAUCUCAGAGACAAGACGUUUCUCAUCUGUCUGAACUCUUAACCAUCUCAGAGACAAGGCGUUUCUCAUCUGUCUGAACUCUUUACCCUCUCAGAGACAAAGGCUGGGGAUCCCUGAUUAGAGGGGAAUCACCCAUGUGCUGUCCCAGGUUUAAAUCAAGCCCUGAUUAGAGAGGAAUCACCCACGUGCUGUUCCAGGUCUAAAUCAGGCCCAGAUUAGAGAGGAAUCGCCCACGUGUUGUCCCAGGUCUAAAUCAGGACCUGAUUAUAGGGGAAUCACCCACGUGCUGUUCCAGGUCUAAAUCAGGCCCUGAUUAUAGGGGAAUCGCCCACGUGUUGUCCUAGGUCUAAAUCAGGACCUGAUUAUAGGGGAAUCGCCCACGUGCUGUUCCAGGUCUAAAUCAGGCCCUGAUUAUAGGGGAAUCGCCCACGUGUUGUCCCAGGUCUAAAUCAGGCCCUGAUUAGAGGGGAAUCGCCCACGUGCUGUCCCAGGUGUAAAUCAGGCCCUGAUUAUAGGGGAACAAUGAUAAAAGCAGCAGAACAGUCUUCCCAGGGCCAGAGUUGAAUUUGAGGAUUACAGGGAAAAGGAUGCCAUUUCAAACACACCCAUAAUGUUUCUAAACCAUCUCUUCCUCUGGCUGCUAAACUGGGGAGUCCAACAGCGUCUAACUGAGUCACACUAACUGGCUAUAAGGAUUAUUAUAAUAACUGGCUAGAACCAUGGAACCAGAGUUGAGAACUGGCUAGAACCAUGGAACCAUAGUUGAGAACUGGUUAGAACUGGCUAGAACCAGGGAACCAUAGUUGAGAACUGGUUAGAACUGGCUAGAACCAUAGUUUAGAACUGGUUAAAACCAUAGAACCAUGCCUGUCUGUCUGUCUGGCCUAGAUUCUAAUACGCUACAGGAAUCUCUAUGCACCCUGACUAGAACACACAGCUGUGAUGCGAUUCGGAGGUUGACAUUAAUAAGGAUUCUAGAGAAAACGUGAUGAUCUGAACCAUGUGUGUCUGUGAUGUAAUUACACGUCUUUGUGAUGACGAAGAGCACAACUCUUUAUUGAUGAAACACUCGCCUGUCUGAACCUCUGCGUAGUCUAAUAUCGGGGCGCUGCUAUUGGCCCGUGAGCACAAAGGGGGAAAUCCGAUUGGUUGUGGCGGUGCUUUGCUUGGUUUUCUAUGUAACUCUGUUUCUUGGCAAAUUUAAUGAAACUGUUUUUUUUCUUCUUUUCAUAAUGUGGCAUUUGUAUUUCAACUUAAAGCCCAAUAAAACUUCACAGUGUAAAAAGUUC